UACAGAGGUCUCAAGCGUUGUUCGGAUUCAUUGGGCGUAAAGGGUGCGUAGGCGGUGGAGUAAGUUGGAUGUGAAAUCCCGGAGCUCAACUCCGGAACUGCAUUCAAUACUGCUUUACUAGAGUGCUGGAGAGGAGAUUGGAAUUCACGGUGUAGCAGUGAAAUGCGUAGAUAUCGUGAGGAAGACCAGUGGCGAAGGCGAAUCUCUGGACAGUAACUGACGCUGAGGCACGAAGGCUAGGGGAGCAAACGGG
rnacentral:rRNA from 1 species